AGAGAGAGACAUGCGCGCAUAUCAAUAAGCGGAGGAAAAGAAACUAACUAGGAUUCCCUCAGUAACGGCGAGUGAAGCGGGAAGAGCUCAAAUUUGAAAUCUUCAAGGUUCUACCUUGACGAAUUGUAGUUUAAAGAAGUGUUUUCUGUUGGAGUUUUGGUAUAAGUUCUUUGGAAUAGGACAUCAUAGAGGGUGAGAAUCCCGUAUUUGACCAUUAUUUCCAGCUUUGUGAUACACUUUCAAAGAGUCGGAUUGUUUGGGAAUGCAGUCCAAAAUGGGUGGUAAAUUUCAUCUAAAGCUAAAUACUUGGCGAGAGACCGAUAGCGAACAAGUACCGUGAGGGAAAGAUGAAAAGAACUUUGAAAAGAGAGUUAAACAGUACGUGAAAUUGUCAAAAGGGAAGCGUUUGACACCAGUGUUGUUUUCUCGAAAAUCAAUUAAAAAAGGCAGGAUUUUGUGUUGUAUUGACUUUAUCAGCUUUCUGCACUCUUUUCUUGUCUUUUUUAAUGCACUUUUCGUUUAACAAGUCAACAUCAAUUUCUUUUGUUGUAAAAGGGUCAUUGGAAGGUGGCUUUCUUUUCGGAGAAAGUGUUUAUAGCCUUUGGCCUCUGCAAUCGGAGAGAUUGAGGUCUGCAGCGUAGAUCCUUCGGGGUUAGAUACAUUUGUGCUAAGUUAUAGCCUUUCAUAGACAACUUGUUGACUAUGAUCAGUCAUGUAGCUUACUCGCUUAUGCUAUUUUACCUACGCUUAGGAUGUUGAUGUGAUACUGCGAGC
rnacentral:rRNA from 1 species